rnacentral:rRNA from 1 species
UGGGGAAUAUUGCACAAUGGGCGAAAGCCUGAUGCAGCAACGCCGCGUGCGGGAUGACGGCCUUCGGGUUGUAAACCGCUUUCAGCAGGGACGAAGGUUUUCUGACGGUACCUGCAGAAGAAGCACCGGCUAACUACGUGCCAGCAGCCGCGGUGAUACGUAGGGUGCGAGCGUUGUCCGGAAUUAUUGGGCGUAAAGAGCUUGUAGGCGGUCCGUUGCGUCGGAAGUGAAAACUCAGGGCUUAACCCUGAGCCUGCUUUCGAUACGGGCGGACUUGAGGGAUGUAGGGGAGAACGGAAUUCCUGGUGGAGCGGUGGAAUGCGCAGAUAUCAGGAGGAACACCAGUGGCGAAGGCGGUUCUCUGGACAUUUCCUGACGCUGAGAAGCGAAAGCGUGGGGAGCAAACAGGCUUAGAUACCCUGGUAGUCCACGCCGUAAACGGUGGGCACUAGGUGUGGGACCCAUUCCACGGGUUCCGUGCCGUAGCUAACGCAUUAAGUGCCCCGCCUGGGGAGUACGGCCGCAAGGCUAAAACUCAAAGGAAUUGACGGGGUCAUAGCUGUUUCCUG